CGUGUAGGCGGCUUGUUAAGUCUGAUGUGAAAGCCCUGGGCUCAACCCAGGAAGUGCAUUGGAAACUGGCAAACUUGAGUACGGGAGAGGAAAGUGGAAUUUCGAGUGUAGGGGUGAAAUCCGUAGAUAUUCGAAGGAACACCAGUGGCGAAGGCGGCUUUCUGGACCGAUACUGACGCUGAGACGCGAAAGCGUGGGGAGCAAACA
rnacentral:rRNA from 1 species